rnacentral:rRNA from 1 species
CGAAAGGCGUAGUCGAUGGGAAACGGGUUAAUAUUCCCGUACUUGGUGUUACUGCGAAGGGGGGACGGAGAAGGCUAUGUUGGCCGGGCGACGGUUGUCCCGGUUUAAGCGUGUAGGUGUGUGUUCCAGGUAAAUCCGGUUCACUUUAACACUGAGGCGUGACGACGAGGCACUACGGUGCUGAAGCAACAAAUGCCCUGCUUCCAGGAAAAGCCUCUAAGCAUCAGGUAACAUCAAAUCGUACCCCAAACCGACACAGGUGGUCAGGUAGAGAAUACCAAGGCGCUUGAGAGAACUCGGGUGAAGGAACUAGGCAAAAUGGUGCCGUAACUUCGGGAGAAGGCACGCUGACACGUAGGUGAAGUGAUUUACUCAUGGAGCUGAAGUCAGUCGAAGAUACCAGCUGGCUGCAACUGUUUAUUAAAAACACAGCACUGUGCAAACACGAAAGUGGACGUAUACGGUGUGACGCCUGCCCGGUGCCGGAAGGUUAAUUGAUGGGGUCAGCGCAAGCGAAGCUCCUGAUCGAAGCCCCGGUAAACGGCGGCCGUAACUAUAACGGUCCUAAGGUAGCGAAAUUCCUUGUCGGGUAAGUUCCGACCUGCACGAAUGGCGUAAUGAUGGCCAGGCUGUCUCCACCCGAGACUCAGUGAAAUUGAACUCGCUGUGAAGAUGCAGUGUACCCGCGGCAAGACGGAAAGACCCCGUGAACCUUUACUAUAGCUUGACACUGAACAUUGAGCCUUGAUGUGUAGGAUAGGUGGGAGGCUUUGAAGCGUGGACGCCAGUCUGCGUGGAGCCGACCUUGAAAUACCACCCUUUAAUGUUUGAUGUUCUAACGUGGACCCGUGAUCCGGGUUGCGGACAGUGUCUGGUGGGUAGUUUGACUGGGGCGGUCUCCUCCUAAAGAGUAACGGAGGAGCACGAAGGUUGGCUAAUCCUGGUCGGACAUCAGGAGGUUAGUGCAAUGGCAUAAGCCAGCUUGACUGCGAGCGUGACGGCGCGAGCAGGUGCGAAAGCAGGUCAUAGUGAUCCGGUGGUUCUGAAUGGAAGGGCCAUCGCUCAACGGAUAAAAGGUACUCCGGGGAUAACAGGCUGAUACCGCCCAAGAGUUCAUAUCGACGGCGGUGUUUGGCACCUCGAUGUCGGCUCAUCACAUCCUGGGGCUGAAGUAGGUCCCAAGGGUAUGGCUGUUCGCCAUUUAAAGUGGUACGCGAGCUGGGUUUAGAACGUCGUGAGACAGUUCGGUCCCUAUCUGCCGUGGGCGCUGGAGAACUGAGGGGGGCUGCUCCUAGUACGAGAGGACCGGAGUGGACGCAUCACUGGUGUUCGGGUUGUCAUGCCAAUGGCACUGCCCGGUAGCUAAAUGCGGAAGAGAUAAGUGCUGAAAGCAUCUAAGCACGAAACUUGCCCCGA